rnacentral:misc_RNA from 1 species
UGCAGAGAUUUCUCGUCAUAACCAAUUGAACAAAGAAAUGCUCUGUAAUCUUCUGGUUGUGCAUCAUAUAUCAGACCAGGAUUGAGGACUUUCGUGGGGUUAACAAAUCCAGAACCAAAAUCAAAUGGAUUAGCCUUCUUCCCUUCAGGAUCUACUAUUAUGGGUUUGUGAUGCAUAUCUGAUAGUUUGGCUGUUGUCAUGAUGGCUGAUUUGAUUGCAGAGGGAGACCAUGAUGGAUGCACG